rnacentral:rRNA from 1 species
AGUGAACGCUGGCGGUAGGCCUAACACAUGCAAGUCGAACGGCAGCACAGUAAGAGCUUGCUCUUACGGGUGGCGAGUGGCGGACGGGUGAGGAAUACAUCGGAAUCUACUUUUUCGUGGGGGAUAACGUAGGGAAACUUACGCUAAUACCGCAUACGACCUACGGGUGAAAGCAGGGGAUCUUCGGACCUUGCGCGAUUGAAUGAGCCGAUGUCGGAUUAGCCAGCUGGCGGGGUCAAGGCCCACCAAGGCGACGAUCCGUAGCUGGUCUGAGUGGAUGAUCCGCCACACUGGGACUGCAACGCGGUCCACACUCCUAAGGGAGGCAGCAGUGGGGAAUAUUGGGCAAUAGGCGGAAGCCUGAUCCAGCCAUACCGCAUGGGUGAAGAAGGCCUUCGGGUUGUAAAGCCCUUUUGUUGGGAAAGAAAAGCAGCAGGUUAAUACCCCGCUGUUCUGACGGUACCCAAAGAAUAAGCACCGGCUAACUUCGUG